rnacentral:rRNA from 1 species
UACGUAGGGUGCAAGCGUUAAUCGGAAUUACUGGGCGUAAAGCGUGCGCAGGCGGUUUUGUAAGUCUGUCGUGAAAUCCCCGGGCUUAACCUGGGAACUGCAUUGGUGACUGCAGCGCUGGAGUAUGGCAGAGGGGGGGUAGAAUUCCACGUGUAGCAGUGAAAUGCGUAGAGAUGUGGAGGAAUACCGAUGGCGAAGGCAGCCCCCUGGGCCCAAUACUGACGCUCAUGCACGAAAGCGUGGGGAGCAAACGAAGG